GACGGUACAAAUGCUUGAGUUCCGGAGGUAGAUGAAUCAAGACCAUACUGUUGCCUUCAGAAUCACAGUAGAAGUCUUGUGCAGUGAGUUUUACUUCAACCAGCUUAUAGAGUUCAUCUUCAUAGCAGGGUUCAGGAGUGAUGUUUGGUUUUUACCACAUGGUACAGAAGGCAUGUCUUGCUCCGUCAUGAAGGAGUGCUUGUCCAUCAUAAAAG